CCUACGGGGGGCAGCAGUGAGGAAUAUUGGUCAAUGGGCGCGAGCCUGAACCAGCCAAGUAGCGUGAAGGACGACGGCCCUAUGGGUUGUAAACUUCUUUUAUAAAGGAAUAAAGUAAGCCACGUGUGCUUUUUUGUAUGUACUUUAUGAAUAAGGAUCGGCUAAUUCCGUGCCAGCAGCCGCGGUAAUACGGAGGAUCCGAGCGUUAUCCGGAUUUAUUGGGUUUAAAGGGAGCGUAGAUGGGGUUUUA
rnacentral:rRNA from 1 species